UGCAGGGGCCUUUACGUAAAGUAAGUCACGGAGUUGAAGAAGACUCGGUUUAUCCACCAGUUUGUGAAGGGCGUGCUGUCAGUUUUCUUUAUGAUUUAGUUAGCAAAGAUUCUAUUGUCGUAACUGCGUGGAGUGGUGGCCAGUUGCAAAUUGAUGCUCUAGCUGAUGAAGUACAGCCGGUUUGGAAGGUCGGUAGCCCUCCUCGGGUUUGUCUGGAUUCAACUGAUAGUAUAGUUGGCCUUGCAAUGAUUUGCGAGUCAUUGUCCAGUGACACCUCUAUUUUGAAGCUUGACCUGCCACCUGAUCAUACCUUAUGGUUGGGGCAUCCACCUCCUCUUUUGAGGCUUGCUAUUGUGGAUUUAGCUCUGCCCAUAAGAAGUGGUUCCAUUAUAUCAAUGUUUGUUGAUCCCCUUAUUUCAGAAAGAAUAUAUUGCCUUCAUGAGGGAGGAAUUCCACCUCCUCUUUUGAGGCUGGCUAUUGUGGAUUUAGCUCUGCCCAUAAGAAGUGGUUCCAUUAUAUCAAUGUUUGUUGAUCCCCUUAUUUCAGAAAGAAUAUAUUGCCUUCAUGAGGGAGGAAUUGAUUCAGUAGUUUUACACUUUUUGCCUUUCACUAAUCAGAGUAGUGGCAAAGAAGACAUGAUGAGAAGGCCCUCUGUGUAUCCCGUUCUUAGCACUUUCCAAGGAGAAGCAUCCUCAGCCUCCCCACUUUGUGGUUUCUUGGCACUGUCAGAUUCUUUCGGAGAUUCAUGGAUUGUGGGUCUUACCCCUUCUUGUGAGUGUAUAGUGUUGGAGAUGGAGACUUGGAAUACACUGGUUCCCCCAAUUAUUGAUAAGGUUGACAAACUCAUAGACUCAGAGGAGCCAAAAGAUACAGAUAUUCCUACUAUCAUAAGCAAAGAACUCCUUUCUGGGCCCAGGGUAGUUCUUUUGCCCCCUUCAUCACCUCAUUUACGCUCCGUUGCUGCUGAUUCAAUUGAAGGCAGAUCAACACUUCAUCAGUAUUUCAAGCUUUUUCAUGAAAAUUAUGUGGAAUAUGCCCACAAGGU
rnacentral:lncRNA from 1 species